rnacentral:rRNA from 1 species
CAUGCAAGUCGAGCGGACAGAUGGGAGCUUGCUCCCUGAUGUUAGCGGCGGACGGGUGAGUAACACGUGGGUAACCUGCCUGUAAGACUGGGAUAACUCCGGGAAACCGGGGCUAAUACCGGAUGGUUGUUUGAACCGCAUGGUUCAAACAUAAAAGGUGGCUUCGGCUACCACUUACAGAUGGACCCGCGGCGCAUUAGCUAGUUGGUGAGGUAACGGCUCACCAAGGCAACGAUGCGUAGCCGACCUGAGAGGGUGAUCGGCCACACUGGGACUGAGACACGGCCCAGACUCCUACGGGAGGCAGCAGUAGGGAAUCUUCCGCAAUGGACGAAAGUCUGACGGAGCAACGCCGCGUGAGUGAUGAAGGUUUUCGGAUCGUAAAGCUCUGUUGUUAGGGAAGAACAAGUACCGUUCGAAUAGGGCGGUACCUUGACGGUACCUAACCAGAAAGCCACGGCUAACUACGUGCCAGCAGCCGCGGUAAUACGUAGGUGGCAAGCGUUGUCCGGAAUUAUUGGGCGUAAAGGGCUCGCAGGCGGUUUCUUAAGUCUGAUGUGAAAGCCCCCGGCUCAACCGGGGAGGGUCAUUGGAAACUGGGGAACUUGAGUGCAGAAGAGGAGAGUGGAAUUCCACGUGUAGCGGUGAAAUGCGUAGAGAUGUGGAGGAACACCAGUGGCGAAGGCGACUCUCUGGUCUGUAACUGACGCUGAGGAGCGAAAGCGUGGGGAGCGAACAGGAUUAGAUACCCUGGUAGUCCACGCCGUAAACGAUGAGUGCUAAGUGUUAGGGGGUUUCCGCCCCUUAGUGCUGCAGCUAACGCAUUAAGCACUCCGCCUGGGG